GAUGAACGCUGGCGGCGUGCCUAAUACAUGCAAGUCGAGCGAACGGACGAGAAGCUUGCUUCUCUGAUGUUAGCGGCGGACGGGUGAGUAACACGUGGAUAACCUACCUAUAAGACUGGGAUAACUUCGGGAAACCGGAGCUAAUACCGUAUAAUAUUUUGAACCGCAUGGUUCAAAAGUAAAAGACGGUCUUGCUGUCACUUAUAGAUGGAUCCGCGCUGCAUUAGCUAGUUGGUAAGGUAACGGCUUACCAAGGCAACGAUGCAUAGCCGACCUGAGAGGGUGAUCGGCCACACUGGAACUGAGACACGGUCCAGACUCCUACGGGAGGCAGCAGUAGGGAAUCUUCCGCAAUGGGCGAAAGCCUGACGGAGCAACGCCGCGUGAGUGAUGAAGGUCUUCGGAUCGUAAAACUCUGUUAUUAGGGAAGAACAUAUGUGUAAGUAACUGUGCACAUCUUGACGGUACCUAAUCAGAAAGCCACGGCUAACUACGUG
rnacentral:rRNA from 1 species